UACGGAGGGUGCAAGCGUUAUCCGGAUUCACUGGGUUUAAAGGGUGCGUAGGAGGGCAGGUAAGUCAGUGGUGAAAUCUCCAAGCUUAACUUGGAAACUGCCGUUGAUACUAUCUGUCUUGAACACCGUGGAGGUGAGCGGAAUAUGUCAUGUAGCGGUGAAAUGCUUAGAUAUGACAUAGAACACCAAUUGCGAAGGCAGCUGGCUACACGAAUAUUGACACUCAGGCACGAAAGCGUGGGGAUCAAACAGG
rnacentral:rRNA from 1 species